ACCAUCUCUCGUACUGAAAGGGAGGUCGCAAGACCAAUGGUGUGCACACAACACGAAUGCCCAACACCGGCCGGCCUCUACGGAGGUUGAGUUUGAGUGUGCCUGUUUGGACCCGAAAGGUGGUGAACUAUGCCUGAACAAGGUGAAGCCCGGGGAAACCCAGGUGGAGGCCUGUAGCGAUGCUGACGUGCAAAUCGCUCGCAUGAUUUGGGUAUCGGAGCGAAAGACUCAUCGAACCACCUAGUAGCUGGUUCACAUCGAAGUUUCCCUCAGGAUAGCUGGUGCUAAUUGUAGUAUUGUGCGGUAAAGCAAAUGAUUAGAGGCAUUGGUGUUCUUAGUGAUAUCGACCUAUUCU
rnacentral:rRNA from 11 species